UACAGAGGUGCCAAGCGUUAGGCGGAAUCACUGGGCUUAAAGCGCGUGUAGGCGGGUCGUUAAGUGUCCGAGUGAAAUCCCACGGCUCAACCGUGGAACUGCCGGGCAUACUGGCGAUCUUGAGGCAUUCAGGGGCGAGCGGAACAAAUGGUGGAGCGGUGAAAUGCGUAGAUAUCAUUUGGAACGCCAAUGGUGAAAACAGCUCGCUGGGAAUGAUCUGACGCUGAGUGAGCGAAAAGCCAGGGGGAGCAAAACGGGG
rnacentral:rRNA from 1 species